UCCCCGGUAGCUCAGCUGGUAGAGCAAGCGGCUGUUAACCGCUGGGUCGUAGGUUCGAGUCCUACCCGGGGAGCCA
rnacentral:tRNA from 2 species